UGCAGGAGGUUGGAGGCAGGUCAGAGGUGCUGCUGUUAUGUGCAUGCACUCCAAAUUUCUGAAGCACUGGCUCACCGGCAGGGGCUGAUUGCUGCCAUCAUCUAGAAAGGCGCUGUUUUCCAUCUGAAGCAGUGGCACCUGGUUUUCAUCUGUGCCUGACACUGACUCGUCUGGCCCCCUCCAAGACUCCUGUCAGACUCCUCUAUGGCUCCACUGGUCCAAGGUUCUGGCGUGGACAAGUCGUCCUCAGACUUAGCCAGGAUGAGGGCAGAAACCUUCUUCUGGUGUAAAAAUGGGAAGAAGAUUCUCUUGGGCACAGUACACAGCCUCACAGCUCCUGCCACCUCCUGCCCAGAUGUCACCCUG
rnacentral:lncRNA from 1 species